UACGUAGGGGGCAAGCGUUGUCCGGAAUUAUUGGGCGUAAAGCGCGUGCAGGCGGCGGGUUAAGUCGGAUGUUUAAGAUCGGGGCUCAACCCCGAUUCGCAUCCGAAACUGGCCCGCUUGAGUGUAGGAGAGGAAAGUGGAAUUCCACGUGUAGCGGUGAAAUGCGUAGAGAUGUGGAGGAACACCAGUGGCGAAGGCGACUUUCUGGCCUAUAACUGACGCUGAGGCGCGAACGCGUGGGGAGCAAACAGG
rnacentral:rRNA from 1 species